UACUGAACUUAAAAAUAGGUAUAUCGAGGGAACCGCCUGAACUGAAACAUCUAAGUAGGGCGAGGAAGAGACAUCAAACGAGAUUCCGUAAGUAGUGGCGAGCGAACGCGGAAGAGGGCAAACCGGAAGUAGAAAUACUUCCGGGGUACGGACCGCAUUUAGGACUUGAGUUGUUAACCGAACGGCAUGGGAAGGCCGGUCAGAGAGUGUGAGAACCACGUAGGUGAAAACGGAGAGAGCUGCGCAGGAUCCAGAGUACGGCCAGACACGUGAAACCUGGUCGGAAUACGGGGGGACCACCCUCCAACCCUAAAUACUACCCAGUGACCGAUAGCGUAUAGUACUGUGAAGGAAAGGUGAAAAGCACCCCGGGAGGGGAGUGAAAAAGAACCUGAAACCCUGUGCCUACAAGCACCUAGAGCACGUCAAUGUGUGAUAGGGUACUUUUUGUAGAACGGUCCGGCGAGCGAUUGUAUGCAGCAAGGUUAAGGACUUAAGGUCUGGAGCCGAAGCGAAAGCGAGUUUGAAAAGGGCGUUAAGUUGCAUACAAUGGGCCCGAAACCGGGUGACCUACCCAUGGUCAGGUUGAAGUGGAAGUAAAAUUCCAUGGAGGACCGAACCGACCUCCGUUGAAAAGGCGGCGGAUGAACUGUGGGUAGCGGAGAAAUUCCAAUCGAACCCGGAGAUAGCUGGUUCUCCCCGAAAUAGUUUUAGGACUAGCCUCAAGUUAGAUACCUGGAGGUAAAGCACUGAAUAGCCUAGCGGCCGAGAGGUUAGCGAAGCUUAUCAAACUCAGAAUGCCAGAGUAUUGAUGCUUGGGAGUCAGACAGUGUCAGAUAAAUGUCAUUGUCAAAAGGGAAACAGCCCAGAUCUACAGCUAAGGUCCCAAAGUCAGGUUAAGUGGAAAACGAUGUGAAGAUACGUAGACAACCAGGAUGUUGGCUCAGAAGCAGCCACACAUUCAAAGAGUGCGUAAUAGCUCACUGGUCGAGCGUCUUCGCGCGGAGAAUUUAACGGGGCUAAACCUGACACCGAAGCUUAGGCAAUACAGCAAUGUAUUGGGUAGGGGAGCGUUGUAUACGCGGUGAAACAGUAGCGCAAGCGGCUGUGGAGUGUAUAGAAGUGAGAAUGCCGGAAUGAGUAGCGCGAAUGCAGUGAGAAUCUGCAUGGCCGAAAGCCUCAGGUUUCUGGAGGAAGGUU
rnacentral:rRNA from 1 species